CCGGGGUGAGUAAUGUCUGGGAAACUGCCUGAUGGAGGGGGAUAACUACUGGAAACGGUAGCUAAUACCGCAUAACGUCGCAAGACCAAAGAGGGGGACCUUCGGGCCUCUUGCCAUCGGAUGUGCCCAGAUGGGAUUAGCUAGUAGGUGGGGUAAUGGCUCACCUAGGCGACGAUCCCUAGCUGGUCUGAGAGGAUGACCAGCCACACUGGAACUGAGACACGGUCCAG
rnacentral:rRNA from 1 species